AUUGAACGCUGGCGGCAUGCUUUACACAUGCAAGUCGAACGGUAACAGGCCGCAAGGUGCUGACGAGUGGCGAACGGGUGAGUAAUGCAUCGGAACGUGCCCAGUCGUGGGGGAUAACGCAGCGAAAGCUGCGCUAGUACCGCAUACGAUCUAUGAAUGAAAGCGGGGGACCGAAAGGCCUCGCGCGAUUGGAGCGGCCGAUGUCAGAUUAGGUAGUUGGUGGGGUAAAGGCUCACCAAGCCAACGAUCUGUAGCUGGUCUGAGAGGACGACCAGCAAGACUGGGACUGAGACACGGCCCAGACUCCUACGGGAGGCAGCAGUGGGGAAUUUUGGACAAUGGGCGCAAGCCUGAUCCAGCAAUGCCGCGUGCAGGAAGAAGGCCUUCGGGUUGUAAACUGCUUUUGUACGGAACGAAACGGUCCUGGUUAAUACCUGGGGCUAAUGACGGUACCGUAAGAAUAAGCACCGGCUAACUACGUGCCAGCCGCCGCCGUAA
rnacentral:rRNA from 1 species